UAAAAACCCUAUUUGUAAACAACCAGUCCUUUAACUAAGCGCUACGUCAUAAACACGGCGCGCUUGGAAGACCACGAUGUCAUCUUCCUUCUGUCAGGAGGAUCCCAGUGAAGCUACAGGAGUUUCAUUAACGUCAACAACUUGGACCGAACGGUUUGUUUUGCUUGAUGAAGAGCAGGAAGGGCAGCCUGGAGAGAAAGAGAAGCCGGGUUGAGCCCACUACCAUCAUCCAUGUACCACGAGGAAGAUGAGGGAGAGAAAUGAUCCUACCAUUAAAGAGACUGUGAAAAGAACGUUGAGAACAUCACCACUCUACAGGAAGACACAGUCCAGUAAUGGGUGUCAGAAUUUCAGUAGUGAACGACAGGAAGGACUGAUGCAUUUACUGAGACGGGACGUGAGGGCCUACUCUGCGUGCUCAGAGUUCAAGCCCAGCAGGCUGCAGCGGUCCUGACAUAUUCCGGAACAGCAGCACAGUCUUUGGAUGACUCCUCUGAAGAUGAAACAUGGCGAGUUCUUCUCAAGAGAAGCAGUACAGGUGUGCCUCAGCUCCACGGUCCCUCCUGCAACCUCCGCUCCUGAUGCUAACCUCAUGUCUCCAUCACACCAAGCAGCAGACCUGGAUUGACAGACCUUUCUCCAGAGCUGCCCCCUCCCUCUGAAACCCCCCUCUCCAAAACACUAUUUGUGUAGUUUUUAAAGUAUUUUUUGCAUGAGAAUUGUUGAUCAUAACAUUUCCAGCAGAUGCCUUAAUGUAAUGUUUGUGCACAAUAAAUGACAUUGAUCAUAACAUAUUGCUAUUUCCUUGCACUUCUACACCAUGAUAUUGUCAGAUAAGAUGCUGAUUACAUUAAAGCAGUGAAUGCUCUUCUUUAAGCAACAUAAACACACAAUGAUCCAAUGGAUCGGAAGUAGAAUGGGCACAUUACAUUCUGUAGAGAAUGCCUCAGUAAUUGAAGUCAGAAAAUAACUUUCUUUAUCUGAGGUUCCAGUCAUUUAUAGUCACAGCAAAGCACACAGGUCUGGUUGUCUAGGGACACCCAUAUCAUAUUGUUUAAGAUGUGUAACAUCAAGUUUGUGUAUCAGUGCAAAAUACAUACCGUCAUUAGUCAAGAGUUCACUCUCUUGUUUACACUAAAUUUAGGUGACCCAGAUGUUUCACAAUGCAUCUGAUAAGGUCUUAUGAGAAACAUUCUUAACAUUAAAGAAAUCAACACAGAGGAUAGC